GACGGAGGGUGCAAGCGUUGUUCGGAAUUACUGGGCGUAAAGGGCGCGUAGGCGGUCUGUUAAGUUCGGUGUGAAAGCCCCCGGCUCACCUGGGGAACUGCGCCGGAAACCGACAGACUCGAGUACCGGAGAGGAGGGUGGAAUUCCUGGUGUAGCGGUGAAAUGCGUAGAUAUCAGGAGGAACACCGGUGGCGAAGGCGGCCCUCUGGACGGAUACUGACGCUGAGGCGCGAAAGCGUGGGGAUCAAGCGGG
rnacentral:rRNA from 1 species